rnacentral:rRNA from 1 species
UACGUAGGGUGCAAGCGUUAAUCGGAAUUACUGGGCGUAAAGCGUGCGCAGGCGGCUUUGCAAGACAGAUGUGAAAUCCCCGGGCUUAACCUGGGAACUGCGUCUGAUACUGGAUGGCUUGAGUUUGGGAGAGGGAUGCGGAAUUCCAGGUGUAGCGGUGAAAUGCGUAGAUAUCUGGAGGAACACCGGUGGCGUAGACGGCUUUCUGGACCGUAACUGACGCUGAGACACGAAAGCGUGGGUAGCAAACAGG